ensembl:lncRNA
UUAUACAAAAGGAUUAAAAUUCAUAGCAUUCAUUAAAAAUGAACCUACAUUAUAAAACUGACACGAGAUCAGUCCCUGUAGCUUCAUUGCUGGACCAAAGAGACCGACAUGAAUGAUGCUACUGUAAAUCACAGUUUUGGAAUUACUGUAGUGCUGUCAGUCAAAGCACUUGGCACAUCGUGAUGCUCACAAUAAGCAACAUCUUACUGUUAUUCAUCUAUAAUCAGAGCUAUAAGUCAUUCUAAAAGCUACUAGGCGUACAGCCACAGGAUCUCCACCGCCUCUGACCGUGUGGUCCGGAUCACACCGGAAAGCUGCUCUCAGCUCCGAACCACCUCAAAGCAUCUAUUAAUGCUGCCUACAGUAACCCUACACCCUCCCUCCCAUGUCUGUCCCAACCCCCAUCUCCUCCUGCACUUAAGCAGAUGCCUAUUAUAAGCACCAUGCACGCUGUUAAGGAAGACCGCGUGAUGUCUUGCUCACACUUCCUCUCCAUCCCUUUCUAAAUGCAGGAUCCAUUACAGAAAGAAUCACUUUUAAUAUGUAACCGUAACCCGUGUGCUCAGUCACUAGGUCAAAUGUUUGAGGCUCUUCACCAAUGCUGGAAUGACUCUCUAGAGGAUAAUCUGCUAGAGGACAUUCUCCAUUAGUAUUUAUUAUACUUGCUUGAGUGCUUCACAUUGCUGGUUGAAUGCACCGGCCAUCAACAGUCAUGCAAUGUGACUGUGACCCACUGCACUGUGAAGCUGACCUAAAUCUCCAGAAUGCAGAAAUCUUAGCGUGUGAUUGGAUGUCACAUCUCUCUUGUGCGGACUGGUUAAGCGGAGACGGGCCCUCACAACCAUCAGGACCAAUGAGAACUGAUCUGUUAGAGAUGACACAGUCCCGUCUCUGCCCUCCACCAACCACCUCGCUCUCCUUCAGCAGGAUUGAGGGAUUGCAUGGAAUCAGGAGGAUGAUUCUGUGGGCUCUGCCACUGAAUGCUCAAAUCCAAUUAGAACUGAGAACAAGACAAGUAAAAGACAAGGCAAGAUUGGGCCAAGAUGGGCCGCACCACAGCAGCCAAUAAUGGGAGGGACUUAGCAAGAGCUAAACUUGCAUCUGUAUUAUGCGAUUGUGUCUGGGUUUAAUAUUGCAGUAGUCGAUGUAAAUUAAAAUUCUGUCAUCAAUUGCUCAUCUCAUGGUAAAAUAGGACGUUGAGAUUGUGAAGAAUGUCUAAGCCAUUGCAAAACAUUUCUUUACAGGUGAAUCAAUGACAUGGAUCAAGGUUCAAUCUAAGUGUUUUGUUUUUUUGUGUAAAUAUUAUGACUUAAAUUAUAUUGAAUUGUAUAUAGAUUCACACACUUUCAACAUCUUUUACACAUCUUGGGCCAGCUUUACUAAAUUACCACCAAGAGUUAGUUCACCCAAAAAUGAAAAUUAGUAGGAUAUGUCAUUUAAAAUAUGCAUUUUUUGGUGCGUUAAAUAAUGGCACAAAUACUACUAAAUUGAUUAACACAAAUCUUAGUAAAUUGCGUAGCGUGAUUCACUUCAAUACUCUCCUCCAAAUAAAUGUACAGAUCAAAAGGGAAACUCUUACAAAUGCAUAUUUAAUAAGGUGAGUCGCAAAAAUAACUGUUUCCAUGCCUUUUCAGUGCUAAUUUCCCACUGUGUGUCUUUAGUAAGUCCUGACAGUAGUUUUUUUAAUGCCAAGUGAGGGUUUGCGCUGGAGCAAACUGUUGGUAAAUCUGGGCCCUUGUAUUUUGUCAGCCUUUACAGUAUUAAUGUUCUUAAAAUUUCUCAGCAUUGAAACAAAAACUGACAUUAUUCCAACCACAUUUUUAAUGUUGAAGGUAGGUAAUGUCCCGACUGGGAAAGCGGUCAAACUCUAUGCAAAAUUGAUAGUUUUGAAAAGUCAUUUUACAAUGAAAAUCUUCUCUCAGCUCUCAGAUUACAUUUGUGUCACAUAUAUUCAACCUUGAGAUUGAAAACAAAUAUGCAUGCAAGACUUUUAGUCAACGAUAACUUGGAGUCUGUUCUAAUGACAUAAAACUUCAGACUUUUAUGAUUUAUUUGCCAUUUUUGGAGUUUAUCAGAGUAUGGUUACAAAAUUAUUUCAUAGUAUAUAAAACAGCUGUUCAGAGAUUCCUUAAAAAAAAAAAAACUAAAUAUUAUGGGUUUGGAGAAGAAAGGAAGUAAAUGACUAUUCCUUUUAGCCCUAAUAUUUAAUCAUAAUUCAGACAUGUAUUUUAGAAACAAGUUUUUAUUUAGAAAGAGAAAAAAGACUUUAAGAGGGACAUAUUGAUAUAAUACUUGACUGCCUUCCAAUAGUAGGUUGGUGCAUGAGUAGUUGUGCACACUGACAGACUCAAAGAAAGAAGCUAUUAACCAUAUGCCCUCCAGGUCUAAACGCCACUGAAUUUAAGAGAUUCCACAGAGAUUUCUAACAUUUCACAUAGCGCAAAUGCACGUCAAAUGUAAUGCAUCGCGUCCAGCUCUAUUGACUGUUCUCUGCUGCAUCACAUUCAUGAAUAACGUGAUAAGAUGUGGCAUAUGCUCUUAAAACGAGGGUUCAGUCCCGGGUUGGCACUGCACCACUUGAGGACUAAGGAAAUGCAGCAGACACGUUACGGUUCACAGCUUCAGUCUGUAACUAGGUCAGAUUUGUUUCAUCAUAUACCCAUUAACUAACAGCCAAAUAAAUUCUUGAGCCCUAGUAUAAUGGUGUUUCCUUUGCUUUGUCUGUGCAGUCAGCAGUUUGUUGUGUGUGUUGAAAAUGAUUCCACGUUUCCUCUUUAGCACUAAUUAAAUCGCCCUUCUCGUCCCCGUUCUGCCUGUCAGACCAUUAGCAUAAUAAAAGAAAGAACCUUUUGUGCAACCUCUCAAUUCAAUUCCGUCUGCGACGGCGACCGAGGGCUUUCAGUUCCCAGCAUGCUGGUAAAUCUAGGCACCAUUUGGAGAUUAAUAUUCGGCAUUUGCACUCGCAUCUGGUAAUUAGAGAAUGUAGAGACUUCCGGGGAUCUGUGUCUUGGGACAUGAUAAGUUGGUACAGAAAUUUCAAAAAUACGCUGAAAGUCAGGCUGCUUUUAGUCUAUGUCUCACAGCUUGUGCUAAAAAUACACUAAAUUCAAUUUUUAGCAAGGAAAAAAAACUUGUUUGACAGGAUGCACAAAAAUUUUCAAUCAACAAAAUUCUCUUUUGAAUGAAAAGGCCACUCCCUCUAAAUUAUAAACACCAUUUGAUAUCAAUAGCAAGUAGCAAAUUAUAGUUUCCCCAUGUUGUGACGUAAACUAGAGUAGGUUAUUAUAACUGAAUAAAACUAAAACCAUAAAAAACAGUUACUUAAAAUAAAAUAAAUUUUAAAGGAUAUUGUCAGACACAGACGAGGACACAGAGGAUUCAGUGCAAAAGUGUUAAAGUUUAAUCAGAGGUUUCAGACACAGGUGAAUCUUGACACGUAGACAAACAGUGGUAACACAACUUUCCUUUAUGGUGAUGGUGACACAGAUGGUGACUCCGACGAAGACGAGGGGAACAGGUAGGCAGAGGAGGAUGAAGAGGGUUCCACAGUUCUGGUAGGUUUUGACGAAGGGUGUUCAGGCAAGUAGGGAGAUCGGUGCAAGACCAGACAAUGAGUGAUGGUGACUGAGGGCUUUAUGUGUGGCACUGGUGAUGAUGCACAGGUGUUCAGAAUGCUGGUGAUUGGGAACGAGUGGGCGUGGCGUAAGUGUCUGAUUCAGAGAGUGUAGAUGGUGUGGCUGUGACAGU